GAUGAACGCUGGCGGCGUGCCUAAUACAUGCAAGUCGAGCGAACAGAUGAGGAGCUUGCUCCUCUGACGUUAGCGGCGGACGGGUGAGUAACACGUGGAUAACCUACCUAUAAGACUGGGAUAACUUCGGGAAACCGGAGCUAAUACCGGAUAAUAUAUUGAACCGCAUGGUUCAAUAGUGAAAGACGGUUUUGCUGUCACUUAUAGAUGGAUCCGCGCCGCAUUAGCUAGUUGGUAAGGUAACGGCUUACCAAGGCAACGUUGCGUAGCCGACCUGAGAGGGUGAUCGGCCCCACUGGAACGGAGACACGGUCCAGACUCCUACGGGAGGCAGCAGUAGGGAAUCUUCCGCAAUGGGCGAAAGCCUAACGGAGCAACGCCGCGUGAGUGAUGAAGGUCUUCGGAUCUUAAAACUCUGUUAUUAGGGAAGAACAAAUGUGUAAGUAACUAUGCACGUCUUGACGGUACCUAAUCAGAAAGCCACGGCUAACUACGUG
rnacentral:rRNA from 1 species